AGGUCAGCCGCUUGAAUAAAGGAAAUGCUAAGACAAACAAGGGAAAAUCAAGUCUUGUGUCAGCUGAUGAAGCAGUUUACUCUGAAGUCAAACGAGGGAGCACUCUAGGUCCGUGAGGAGAGCUGUAACAGCAACACCAUAAUGAAGCUUUUUAUGAAGCCACUGUUGCUCCUCUGCUACUCAAGUGUCAUACACGCCCAAUAAGUAUAAGAGUUAUAGGUCAUCAUCAUUAUGAAAUACAAUAUCUGUAUUAAUAACUGUAGACUUAUGACUGUAUUUUAGCACAAAAAAGUACAAACUGGUGUGCUUCUGUUUAGUUUCAUGCUCUCUUUAUUCACUCAGUGAUAAUAACAGUUUGACGUACAGUCAGCUUUUUCACUGUUACAUAUGGUUUAUUAAUGUUUGGGCAAUAAACACUGUAUAUUUUUGUAUGUAAUGAUCUUCUACAUUAUUAAAAGAAGACUGAUAUGAUACGGUAUAUAUCUGACUGUAUUUGUGCAAAAUACUAAUGAACCUGUUGCUGUCAAUUAUGGAAUAAUUUGCUUUUUCUUCAUGAAAAUAUGCGUUCAUAUUGUGAUAUGUGUGUCUGUGGUUGUGUGUGUGUGUGUGUGUCUGAGAGAGAGAUACAAACAUAUAAACAUACAGAAUGUGAGAUGCUGCGUUUGCUCCAGUUCAGUGUGGUGGCAAGGCCCAAAAAUAAUAUCUGCCCACGGCUUUUCACAGAGUCAUGAAAGGCCUUAUCUUCAUCUCUUCAUUAAAU